UACGUAGGGUGCGAGCGUUGUUCGGAAUUACUGGGCGUAAAGGGCGCGUAGGCGGCCCGCUAAGUCGAACGUGAAAUCCCCGAGCUCAACUCGGGAACUGCGUCCGAUACUGGCGGGCUUGAAUCCGGGAGAGGGAUGCGGAAUUCCAGGUGUAGCGGUGAAAUGCGUAGAUAUCUGGAGGAACACCGGUGGCGAAGGCGGCAUCCUGGACCGGCAUUGACGCUGAGGCGCGAAAGCUAGGGGAGCAAACGGG
rnacentral:rRNA from 1 species